rnacentral:lncRNA from 1 species
AGGCCCUGGGAGUGAUGACCCUUCGCCUUUAGGUCUGAAGGCUUGGGAGCCGAAGCUUUAUCGAGUUUAGGCAUUAGUGAACCCCAGCCUCAUGCAUCCAUAGUAGAAUGACCUAGGGUAGAGUCGGCCUCACCCUAUUUUAAGCACAUUAGGCACGAGGGAAGGGGUUCCACCCCUUUUACUUGCUUUAUUGUAUUUCUUCUUCUUAAAUGCUCCCAAUGUGUUAUGUGUACUAUCAACUGCACUAACCAUUUCUUUUGUUUUCUUGGCUUGCAUUCAUGUGCCUUAGCAAUAAGAGGCCUCUUGGGCACUCUUUUAGUGACUCACCCACUAGAUAGCUCACAUGUCUAAAUUUCAGUCUUUGCACUUACUUUUCAGUGAAUACAUUUCAUGUUUAGACCUUUUCCCCCCGAUGCAUUAUUUGUAUCCUUUAGGCCAUAUUUGUCACAUAUUUACAUCGCUUUAAUAAACUGGCAUCAUGCAUAAACCCUAGAAAAGGGAAUGCCAUUUAGGCGAUCCCGUGCUAGAAAUAAGCCACCUUGUGUCUCGGAUACUUAAUCCA